rnacentral:rRNA from 1 species
AUGAAGCACACGACGUCGGACUCGGACGUGACGAGCCUGGCGACCACGUCGCCGUCGCGGUCCCCGAAGCGGGCGGCGUACUACGUGGUCAGCCCGUCGCGCGACUCGCGGGACGACGGCGACAAGUCGUCGUCCACGCAGGCCACGCCCGUGUACAACAGCCCCCUCGACUCCCCGUCGCACCACUCCUCCAUUGGCCCGCACUCCAGGGCCUCCUCCGCCAGCCGCUUCUCCGGGAACCUCACCGGCGGCGGCAGGGCCGCCGCCAACCGGAAGCGCCCCCACGGCCACGGCAAGGGGUGGCACGAGGUGGACGUGAUUGACGAGGAGGACGCCGAGGACGCCGGCGUGGAGCAGGAGCGGGAGCUCUCCAGGAGCUGCGUCGCCGCCUUCUGGUUCUCGGUUCUGGUCCUGGCAUUCACCCUCGUCUGCCUCGUCGUCUGGGGCGCCGCCCGCCGUGACAAACCCAGCGUCCUCGUCAAGAGCUUGAGAGUGGAGAAUUUCUACGCCGGCGAAGGGACGGACGGCACCGGAGUGCCGACCAAGUUCGUCACAAUGAACUGCUCGCUGGAGAUAGACGUCCACAACCCCUCCACCAUGUCCGGCAUCCAUGUUUCUUCCACCUCCAUCCAGCUCUACUAUUCACAGAUACCCAUCGCCAGCGGUCAGUUGGAGAAGUUCUACCAGCCGAAGAAGAGCCGGCACGUCGCAUCGGUGACCCUGCACGGCGAGAAGACGCCGCUCUACGGAGCCGGGGCUACCUUUGUCCUCACCAACACCGACGGCGUGCCGCUCACCGUGGACUUGGCGGUGAGGACGAGAGGGUAUGUCAUCGGCAGGCUUGUCAGGGUGACACACGCCAAGCGUGUGCGAUGCCCGGUUCUUGUGAGCUCUCUUACCGACAAGCCCAUCAUGAUCGCCCAGACUGCUUGCAGCUACUCUUGA